UCCCCACACUACAGUGAAGAUUUUGAAGAUGAGGGAAGUUGUAAAGAGCCACUGGUGACGAAUGCAGAAAGGUCUCCCAUGCUUGCCAAAGUUUCUCUCUAUGAUUCGCUGGACUCCACUGGCGGUGUGUCCUUUCCUGAAGAAAACAAG